GAUGAACGCUGGCGGCGUGCUUAACACAUGCAAGUCGAACGGAAAGGCCCAAGCUUGCUUGGGUACUCGAGUGGCGAACGGGUGAGUAACACGUGGGUGAUCUGCCCUGCACUUCGGGAUAAGCCUGGGAAACUGGGUCUAAUACCGGAUAGGACCACAUUUUGGAUGGUGUGGUGGAAAGUUUUUCGGUGUGGGAUGAGCUCGCGGCCUAUCAGCUUGUUGGUGGGGUAAUGGCCUACCAAGGCGUCGACGGGUAGCCAGCCUGAGAGGGUGUACGGCCACAUUGGGACUGAGAUACGGCCCAGACUCCUACGGGAGGCAGCAGUGGGGAAUAUUGCACAAUGGGCGCAAGCCUGAUGCAGCGACGCCGCGUGGGGGAUGACGGCCUUCGGGUUGUAAACUCCUUUCGCUAGGGACGAAGCGUUAUGUGACGGUACCUGGAGAAGAAGCACCGGCUAACUACGUG
rnacentral:rRNA from 1 species